GACGAACCGUGCGAACGUUGUUCGGAAUCACUGGGCUUAAAGGGCGCGUAGGCGGCUGUCAGAGUCGGGGGUGAAAUCGUUCGGCUUAACCGGACCACUGCCUUCGAUACCUGGCGGCUCGAGGGAGGUAGGGGCAGAGGGAACUUCCGGUGGAGCGGUGAAAUGCGUAGAUAUCUGGAGGAACACCGGUGGCGAAGGCGGCAUCCUGGACCAACACUGACACUGAGGAGCGAAAGCCAGGGGAGCAAACGGG
rnacentral:rRNA from 1 species